AGUUUAGAAAGAUAUGUAUUGAACAUCAAAAUUAAUUAAAUAUAUACUUAUAUCCUUAAGAACAUAAAAUGUCAUCUUCUAUAUUCUGAUAAUUAAACAAUUAACAUAAGUUACACAGAUUAAAAAAUAUGCUAAAAUACUAAUUAUAAGUAGAAAAUGAAAAAGAAAAAAGAAAAAAGAAUAAUUACAAGAAAAUGAAAAAGAAAAAAGGAGAAUAGAAUAAUUACAAGAAAAUGAAAAUGAGACUGUAUGUUUUAAAGGAAACCAACUCAAU
rnacentral:lncRNA from 1 species